rnacentral:snRNA from 1 species
GCAUGAGAGGAAAACCAGGAAGAGACAUCUGUCACACGAUCGGUUCCUGGGGUUGAAUCAGCUGAUCUGGCUGGCCAGUUGGGUGUCUCCUUUCACCCUCGUAUCUCCUAUGCUCUGCUUUGUUUAAGAGAACACCCUUCUAGAAUAAAGGAAAACCAUUCUUUAUACAAAGAAAUUUAAGUAGCCACACUAGCCUGCUACAACCACCAAACAAGCUUCUUAAUUAGAACAAUUACACCGAAGGCAAACAACACAAAACAAACCUAUUGAAUUUGAAAAUAAGGAACCAUUU